rnacentral:lncRNA from 1 species
CAGCCAUUUCUGGAUUCAAAUCCUGGCUCUGCUAUUUUCCUAGCUGUGUGACUUUGUACAAGUUACUUAACCCCUCUGAGUCUAUUCCUAUUGUUUCCCUGCUUGGUCCUCACGUUUCCUCUCAGGCCUGGCACUUGGAAGGUGUUUUAUAAAUGGCUCUGCCACUCCCUACCCCUCUGCUGCAGGACAGCAUGUCUUUUAUUCUCCUGGGACAUCCUGGGACCUGCCUUGCCAAGCUUCAUUUCCCCCCCCCCCAGUUCAGCUCUCCAGUUCACUUACUUCUUACUUCUCUCUUUCUAGUGUUUGGCAUGGAUUUGAAGGUGUUUGGGAAAGGGAGGAAAGAAGAAAAAUGUUUGAAGAAGGAAGGACGGGACCCUCGAUUUGGAAAUUAAAGUAUUCUAGGCCUGGACGCUGUGAGGAGACCAGCAUGAGCCAAGAGGACCACAGCAGCAAAUACCAAUACCCACCCACCCACCAAAAACCAAUAUCUCAUCCCUCCACUGGGCCCACAACAGUCUCCCACCUGCAGAGCUGUCAAAUUCCUGCCAGAUCAAGGUGUCCAAACCAAGCUGAAGAAUGACAUUUCAAGUAUUUUCUGAAGGAAGGGAAGGGAAGGAGGAAGGAAGGGCUGUGCAGUAAGUGACUGUUCUCACAGCUGUGAUCACGAGCCAUUGUCAUUCAAGUGCCCACCUUGUCUUGCUGUGUACUCAUUGUCUUCUAUCAAUCGGGCCAAUCCGAAGUCAGCAAUCUUGCAUAUGAGUCCAUUCCCCACUAGAAUGUUUGCUGAUCGCAGAUCUCUAUGGAUAUAAUUCAUGCGCUCGAUGUAAGCCAUUCCUGCAGCCACCUGUGGAAACCCAGGGAACAGGACAUGUUACACCACGACCCAAUGUACUUAGACACGUCAUUAAAUCUAUGGCACAUCAAGUUACCCUGCAGGGCCUACCUGUGCUGCCAUGUCCACAAGAUUUGGUAAUUUCAGAGCUCUUCCUUCUCCAUCUUUUAAGAAAUCCAGUAAACUUCCUAUGAACAAAACAUAAAAUCAUUUCAAUUUACUUUGAAAGAUAAUUCCCAACAGAGAGCUGUAUUUGGUUUUCUUAUUAAAAGUAAUAAGGUAGUCAAAUGGAAUAAUGCCAUCCACAUGGGGGGACAAAAAGGUUUAUAUAAAAAAGCAGGGUAGAAAAAAGUAUAGGCAUGGAGAAGUAACAGUUACCUUUUAAAAACAAACAGCAUUAAUUCCAUUUCUAGGAAUAACAACAUAUAUUUGAUAAAACUAGAAGAAAUGGGACUCAAUCUCCCUGUAUGUCAUAAAGAGGAACCUAUGAAGAACUGCACCUCUUCAAUCCCAUUCCCCAAUCACCCCUGCACAAAGAAUUGAUGUGGGGAAAAUACAGCCCAGCUGAGUGGUCCAAAACUGUGGUCCUGGGACCAGCAGCUACAAUAACACAAGGGAACUUGUUAGAUAUGCAAAUUCUCAGGUCCCAUCCCAGAUCGAGUAAAUCAGAAACUUUGAAGGUUGGGUCCAGAAACUUGGGUUUUAAGAAGGCCUACAGGUGAUUCUAAUAAUACAAGGUAAAGUUUGAGACUCACUAGCUUAGCUUAUUUACAGAUUUUGAAUCAAGAAAAGACAAUCUGAAGAAUAUGGGUGGGGCAGAUGGUUCCCCUUAAUUAGAUCACAGCCAGCCAAGCCUUAAAUCAGACAUCUGAAAUGAAACAUUGGAAGCUUCAGAGCCACUAUUAUAACACAGCCUAAGAAGGCUUAGAACUAACACCAAAGCAGGGAUAAUCAUUUGCAGAAGCUGGAGGCUUAUGAUGGUCAUCAGUGAUAUUUUAUGCUUUAAUCACAAAGUUAUUUACAAAAUAACCCUGGAUACAAAGGACAAACCGUUUGCCAGAAAAAAAAAUUCCCAUUAAAUUUUAAAAGAAAGUACAUGGAAAAGAAAAAUUACACUGGUAUCCUCUGAUAAACAAUGUAUUGCCUUUUAAGGCUGUUUCUUGUUUGGUUCAUCUAUUUUUCCAAAACAAAAUGAUCUCUGGCCUUAUCCCUAACAAUGCUGGUUUGAUUAGGAAGACAGAGGGGUUGUAGGGGAGAGAAUGUGAGAAUAAAUGUGGUCUCUGAAAGCAUGUAAUUUCAUCGCCUGACGUUUAAGAAGAGAGCUGGAAAUAAAAAAGAUGUUGAAAUGAUGGAGACUAAACUUAGCUUAGAGACCAGUGUCUGAUAUUAAUUGUUUAGCCCUGCAAAAAGGAAAUGUAACAAAAGCUACUACAUUCAAAAUAACAGCAAACUAUCAUAACCCUCCGUACCACCCUGAUAUUAAAAAUGAAUGUUUUAAUUAUGGAGAGGAGCUUGAAUUUCUGACACACAUAACAUGUAAAAAGUAUUUGGCAUUUCAUAAGGAUUUGGGGUGGGGUAAACGCAAGGUUAGUCUGUUUUAAAAAAUGUUUUCAUUAACGAGCACAUAACUGGUGGUUCCUAAUGGGAAUACUUGACCCAGGCAGAAACUAGAAAAGUAGCAAGUAGGAAACUUCCAUUUCUCUCCCCUAAACAACCCCUUAAGGCACUGUGAGCUGGAGACAGGAGAGGUGUUGCCCAACCUUUGUUCAUAUACUCGGUGACGAUGUAGAUGGGCUCCUCAGACACCACUGCAUAGAGCUGGACCAGC